rnacentral:rRNA from 1 species
AGUGAACGCUGGCGGCAGGCCUAAUACAUGCAAGUCGAACGGCAGCACAGUGGAGCUUGCUCCAUGGGUGGCGAGUGGCGGACGGGUGAGGAAUACAUGGGAAUCUGCCCAGUCGUGGGGGAUAACGUAUGGAAACGUACGCUAAUACCGCAUGCGCCCUUCGGGGAAAGUCGGGGACCGCAAGGCCUGACGCGAUUGGAUGAGCCCAUGUUCGAUUAGCUAGUUGGCGGGGUAACGGCCCACCAAGGCGACGAUCGAUAGCUGGUCUGAGAGGAUGAUCAGCCACACUGGAACUGAGACACGGUCCAGACUCCUACGGGAGCAGCAGUAGGGAAUAUUGGACAAUGGGCGCAAGCCCUGAUCCAGCCAUGCCGCGUGAGUGAAGAAGGUCCUCGGGUUGUAAAGCUCUUUGU